AUGCUCCUGGCCAGGCUGAGCCACCAAACUCAGGGCGCUUUUCCAGAGCUUGGAAACACAAAACAUCCCAGGGCCGGUGCCAGGGCGGUGCGGGACGAGGUGGCACCGGGAGAGAAACCCGGGCUCGGGGCAGGAGCCACUGGCCCCACACCGGGACCCUCGGGGAUGCUCCACGAGCCUCAGCUCUGGACCCCCCUCCCACAGCCCCUCCUGCCCCCGGGAGCUGUUUGUGACCUCCCUCUGCAGCUUGAAUUCAUUUGGGGUUUGCUGCCGGGCCCUGGGCCAGGAGUUAGAGUGAACAACCCCCUCCUGCACGAUCCAGGGGCUGGCAGCCCAGCCAGCGGCUCCUCCCUUUCCCCCCACCCCAAAAAAGCCAAAGGUAAAGCCCCAGCACGGGGGGCUUUGUCCCUGUCCCUGUCCCCAACCCAGCCCGGGUCCUGCUGGUGUCCAGCGGACCCUCAGAAGCCACCAGGACACCUGGCUGGGACUGGGAUCACCAGUUUGGGACUGGGAUGCAGAAUGUGGGAUCAGGAUAAAGAAUCUGGGGCUGGGAUCAGAGUUUGGGAUCAGGAUAAAGAAUCUGGGGCUGGGAUCAGAGUUUGGGACUGGAAUCAGAAUUUGGGACUGGGAUCAGAGUUUGGGAUCAGGAUGCAGAACCUGGGACUGGGAUCAGAGUUUGGGAUCAGGAUGCAGAACCUGGGACUGGGAUCAGAGUUUGGGACUGGGCUCACAGUUUGGGAUCAGGAUGCAGAACCUGGGACUGGGAUCAGAGUUUGGUACCAGGAGAGCCGUGGGCCAGGAGCCCAUGGCACAACCCAUCCCUGGGCCGGCAGCCGCCGAUCCAGCCCCUGGAUCCUCCAUGGGAAGGGGAGGUUGUGCCACGGAGCCUCCCCGCGGUGCCCUGGGAAAGCUGGGCCGGGGAUGAAUGAGGGCUCUGUGCUCCAGCCCCAGCACGGGUUACCAGCAUUUUCCAGGCUACCGGCACGGAACGGAGCAGGGAACGCGGCCGGGAGCUGGGACAGACACGGAGGGAGGGUCGGGACAGCCCAGGGCAGGGUGGGGAGCCCCCACCCUGAGGAGAUUUGGGACAGGUGACAGCGAGUUCCCCAGGCUGGGGGUGGCAGUGCUGGGCUGGUGUCACUCGGGACACGCAGCUCCCAGCCAGGAUCCCGGAAAAGAGAAAACAAAACAAAACCCCAGCACAGAAAUCUUUGCUUUGGCAUUUCCUGAUUGUUUUUAAAGAGGCAAAUCAGCCGUCAGCAGAGCUGGGCUUAUAUAAGAGGGGAACAAAGCGGGAGGCAAACAAAGCAGGGCAGGAAGAUUAUUGAGGAGCAAACCAGUGGCAUCGAGCUCUGCUGUUCUGUGCAUCCCUGCUUGUUUCCCUGCUUAUUUCCCUGUCUAUAUUCCUGUUUUUCCCUGCUUGUUUCCCUGUCUAUAUCCCUGUUUUUCUUUGUCUGUAUCCUUGUUUUCCCCUGCUUGUUUCCCUGUCUAUCCCUGCCUAUAUCCCUGUCUAUAUUCCUGUUUUUCCUUGCCUGAAUCCCUGUUUUUCCCUGUCUAAAUCCCUGUUUUUCCUUGCCUGAAUCCCUGUUUUUCCUUGCCUGUAUCCCUGUUUUUCCCUGCUUGUUUCCCUGUCUAUCCCUGCCUGUAUCCCUGUCUU
rnacentral:lncRNA from 1 species